rnacentral:rRNA from 1 species
CUACGGGAUGCAGCAGUGGGGAAUAUUGGACAAUGGAGGAAACUCUGAUCCAGCCAUGCCGCGUGAGUGAAGAAGGCCCUAGGGUUGUAAAACUCUUUCAGUAAGGAAGAUAAUGACGGUACUUACAGAAGAAGCCCCGGCUAACUCCGUGCCAGCAGCCGCGGUAAUACGGAGGGGGCUAGCGUUGUUCGGAAUCACUGGGCGUAAAGCGCACGUAGGCGGUUUGGAAAGUUGGGAGUGAAAGCCCGGGGCUUAACCUCGGAAUUGCUCUCAAAACUAUCAGACUAGAAUUCGAUAGAGGAUAGUGGAAUUCCUAGUGUAGGAGUGAAAUCCGUAGAUAUUAGGAGGAACACCAGUGGCGAAGGCGACUAUCUGGAUCGAUAUUGACGCUAAGGUGCGAAAGCGUGGGGAGCAAACAGGAUUAGAUACCCGAGUAGUC